GUGGGGAAUAUUGGGCAAUGGGCGAAAGCCUGACCCAGCAACGCCGCGUGAAGGAAGAAGGUUUUCGGAUCGUAAACUUCUGUCCUUGGGGAAGAAAAAAAUGACGGUACCCCUGGAGGAAGUCCCGGCUAACUACGUGCCAGCAGCCGCGGUAAUACGUAGGGGGCGAGCGUUAUCCGGAAUUAUUGGGCGUAAAGAGUACGUAGGUGGUUUUUUAAGCGCAGGGUUUAAGGCGAUGGCUCAACUGUCGUUCGCCCUGUGAACUGGAAGACUUGAGUACAGGAGAGGAAAGCGGAAUUCCUAGUGUAGCGGUGAAAUGCAUAGAUAUUAGGAGGAACACCAGUGGCGAAGGCGGCUUUCUGGACUGUAACUGACACUGAGGUACGAAAGCGUGGGGAGCAAACAGGAUUAGAUACCCGUGUAGUCC
rnacentral:rRNA from 1 species